GAGCAAUUAGGGUCUGGCUAGGCUAUUGACGGAGGGUCACGCGCCUUGUGUUGCCGGGGAGGAGCCAGCAAUGUCGUUUGGUACAGCCCAGGCACACAGCCUCUCCAUCUCCACCACUUGGGCUGCAGCAAAAAUGUCAUGAAGUCUGGCGCCAUUGGUCAGGUUAGGAGAGGCACAACUAAAGGCGUCUCUUCGCGCCACCCACAAGCUGCCUGCGCGCCACAGCUCCUGGUGUCUCCGACGCCUACAGACACUCAGCUGCUGUCCGAGCCGAGAACCCCUGAACGGGCCUCGUGCCUGUGUCCUCCGCUCCCCGGCCUCGCUCCUCCGCCACCCACCUGCAGGCAGGGGCUUCGUGGCUCCAAGAUCCCCAUAAG